ensembl:lncRNA
GAUUAUGUAAUGUUUAUGUUUAGGAUUAGGAUUAUGUUCACAGAGGAAGGGUCCAGAUUAGGAUUAGGAUUAUGUUCACAGAGGAAGGGUCCAGAUUAGGAUUAGGAUUAUGUUCACAGAGGAAGAGUCCAGAUUAGGAUUAGGAUUAUGUUCACAGAGGAAGGGUCCAGGUUAGGAUUAGGAUUAUUAUGUUCACAGAGGAAGGGUCCAGGUUAGAGUUAGGAUUAUGUACACAGAGGAAGGGUCCAGGUUAGGAUUAGGAUUAUGUUCACAGAGGAAGGGUCCAGGUUAGAGUUAGGAUUAUGUUCACAGAGUAAGGGUCCAGGUUAGAGUUAGGAUUAUGUUCACAGAGUAAGGGUCCAGGUUAGAGUUAGGAUUAUUUUUAAAUUCACAGAGUAAGGGUCCAGGUUAGAGUUAGGAUUAUGUUUAAAUUCACAGAGUAAGGGUCCAGGUUAGAUAGGAUUAGGAUUAUGUUUAUAUUUAAAGUCACAGAGUAAGGGUCCAGGUUAAAGUUAGGAUUAUGUUUAAGGUCACUGAGUAAGGGUCCAGGUUAAAGUUAGGAUUCGGUUUAAGGUCACAGAGUAAGGGUACAGGUUAGGGUUAGGAUUAUGUUUAAGACCACAGAGUCAGGGUCCAGGUUAAGGUUAGGAUUAUGUUUAAAUUCACAGAGUAAGGGUCCAGGUUAGAGUUAGGAUUAGGAUUAUGUUUAUGUUUAAGGUCACAGAGUAAGGGUCCAGGUUAGAGUUAGGAUUAUGUUUAAGGUCACUGAGUAAGGGGCCCGGUUCGAUAGGAUUAUGUUUAAAUUCACAGAGGAAGGGUCCAGGUUAGAUAGGAUUAGGAUUAUGUUUAAGACCACAUAGUAAGGGUCCAGGUUAGAUAGGAUUAUGUUUAAAUUCACAGAGGAAGGGUCCAGGUUAGAUAGGAUUAGGAUUAUGUUUAAGACCACAUAGUAAGGGUCCAGGUUAGAUAGGAUUAUGUUUAAAUUCACAGAGGAAGGGUCCAGGUUAGAUAGGAUUAGGAUUAUGUUUAAGACCACAUAGUAAGGGUCCAGGUUAGAGUUAGGAUUAUGUUUAGGAUUAGAGUCAAGGUUACGUGUUAAAGGUCAAGGUUAGGAUUAGCUGUUUUAAAAUCAAUAGUCCAUCUAUGUUGUAGUUGUCCUGUAGAGUCGGGCUGCUUUACUCCUCAACGUCACAUAAUCCCUUCGUCUCCUGGUACACAGCAUGCAGGCCAGCCCAUGUGGACAC